rnacentral:rRNA from 1 species
AGAGUUUGAUCCUGGCUCAGAACGAACGCUGGCGGCGUGCCUAACACAUGCAAGUCGUACGAGAAAAUCCGCUUCGGCGGGUGAGUAGAGUGGCGCACGGGUGAGUAACGCGUGGAUAAUCUGCCUUUAAGCUGGGAAUAACUCACCGAAAGGUGGGCUAAUACCCGAUAAUGCUAUGGGACUUCGGUUUUAUAGCCAAAGAGAGCCUCUACAUGUAAGCCUUCACUUAAAGAUGAGUCCGCGUACCAUUAGCUAGUUGGUAGGGUAAUGGCCUACCAAGGCGACGAUGGUUAGCUGGUCUGAGAGGAUGAUCAGCCACACUGGAACUGAGACACGGUCCAGACUCCUACGGGAGGCAGCAGUGAGGAAUAUUGCGCAAUGGGGGCAACCCUGACGCAGCAACGCCGCGUGAGUGAGGAAGGUCUUCGGAUCGUAAAGCUCUGUCGGGUGGGGAGAAGUGUGCAUAGGUUAAUAGCUUGUGCACUUGACGGUACCGCCAAAGGAAGCACCGGCUAACUCCGUGCCAGCAGCCGCGGUAAUACGGGGGGUGCGAGCGUUGUUCGGAAUCAUUGGGCGUAAAGAGCGUGUAGGCGGCUAGGCAAGUCAGAUGUGAAAUCCCUGGGCUUAACCCAGGAAGUGCAUUUGAAACUGCUUAGCUUGAGUAAGGAAGAGGGAAGUGGAAUUCCUGGUGUAGAGGUGAAAUUCGUAGAUAUCAGGAGGAACACCGGUGGCGAAGGCGACUUCCUGGUCCUAUACUGACGCUGAGACGCGAGAGCGUGGGGAGCAAACAGGAUUAGAUACCCUGGUAGUCCACGCCGUAAACGAUG